rnacentral:rRNA from 1 species
CACGUAGGGGGCGAGCGUUGUCCGGAUUCAUUGGGCGUAAAGGGUGCGUAGGCGGCGCGGUAAGUCGGGUGUGAAAUCUUGGAGCUUAACUCCGAAACUGCAUUCGAUACUGCCGUGCUUGAGGACUGGAGAGGAGACUGGAAUUUACGGUGUAGCGGUGAAAUGCGUAGAUAUCGUAAGGAAGACCAGUGGCGAAGGCGGGUCUCUGGACAGUUCCUGACGCUGAGGCACGAAGGCCAGGGGAGCAAACGGG